rnacentral:misc_RNA from 1 species
GAUGAAGAACGCAGCGAAAUGCGAUACGUAAUGUGAAUUGCAGAAUUCAGUGAAUCAUCGAAUCUUUGAACGCAUAUUGCGCUCUCUGGUAUUCCGGAGAGCAUGCUUGUUUGAGUAUCAGUAAACACCUCAACUCCCUUUUCUUUUUUGAAAUGGGAGCUGGACUUGAGUGAUCCCAACACUUUUCUCACUGGAAAGUGGCGGGUCACUUGAAAUGCAGGUGCAGCUGGACUUUUCUCUGAGCUAUAAGCAUAUCUAUUUAGUCUGCCUAAAAAACAGAUUAUUACCUUUGCUGCAGCUAACAUAAAGGAGAUGAGUUCUUGUGCUGACUGAUGCAGGAUUCACAGAGACAGCUUUGCGGCUGACUUUGUAAACUCGAUCUCAAAUCAAGUAAGACUACCCGCUGAACUUAAGCAUAUCAAUAAGCGAGGA